CACCGAAUUUUGCCAUAUUAUACAUUACUUAUUCUACAUUGAUACAUAUGCUGUUCGUAACAAGUAAACACAAUGCUUCAUAUAUAAGUAAUAAACUUAGAAAAAUAAUGUGUUGUUGUGUUUAUAUAUUACUCCAAACAUGCUCCACUUUCCAAAAAAAUGUGAAUUUUCCAUGAAAUUUGAGACUUUAUUUAUGAUUUUCGCCCUGGCGGCAUCCUUUACCAGUCUUAAUACUUUAACCACUACUUCGUACAUUAAAAACCAACAAAGAGUGCAAAAAUCAUCGCUGGUGAGCAAUGCCGCCAUAUUAAAAAACGAAAAAAAACGUCCGUCUUAGAGACACAUUUUUAUCCGAAAUUACACAAGCCUCGAUUUCGGUAAAAUGACGUUGAAGUUGACGUCACUUAAUUAAAUAUUUGUUUUCAUUAAUUUGUUUUUCAAGCAACAACCAUUAGAGCUAGUGUUAAAAUCAAUAAUAUCGGACGAAGAUUUUUAAGUUUAAAUGUUUCAACAUUUAGUGAAAUAUCACAAACCUAAUGAGUGAAUUAGCGAAUUGUUUCCCUUUGAAAUCAACACGCCAUUAUCGGUGGAUACAUGUCUGAAACUGGGUAAGAGAAUACAUGCAGUUAUUGCUCUGAAUAUACGCGGACAUUUAAAGUGCAUGGCGGAUUUAAUAAUUGUUAUGGGUAACCUCCAGCAGUAAGAAAUAUAAAGUUUCACUGCAGUUUUGAGUGCUCAACAAGUAUUGACCCCAUACUAUGCUCAGCAAGUAGGGCCCUUGUAUUUCUGUGAAUCCUCAUACAGUAGAGUACUGCUGUUGGAAGAGGAGCAAACAGUGUGGUAUCUAUGGUCCACCAUCACUUCAAGCAUUAUGGCUAUGGAGAAAAGAAUGUUUCAUUACAUAUGGACAAUUAUAGUGGAAAAAAUAAGAAAAGUGUUGUAAUAAGGUAUGGAAUGUGGCUUGUUAUGAUGGGUCUACAUGAUGACUUGGAGUACAACCUGAUUGAGGCCCGGCAUACAGAAUUCAGUCAUGAACAUGUUUAGAAUGUCUUCUGCAUGACCUGGUAUAGAUAGUAUUCUUGAAGGGUUUUAACUUCAACACAGAGACGGAGAUUAAUAUUUUUAGGCAGGGGGUUGGCAUGACAGGCAAAUUCACCAACCGUAUUGCCAUUCCUGAGCUGGAUGCCAGUCUACAGUGGUACCUGUAUAAUGAAAUAGCGCCCCUUUGCAGCAACAGCAAUGUAUGCUCAAAGCCAGCAGUGUCAAAGCCAUUAAAAUUGAUAAUUCAAGUCAUUUAAAUCGAAGAAUGAAUGGAAAAAAGUGUUUAACAUUUAAAGUAAUACAGAGAAAGAGCUCUGAAAUUUUGAUUAAUUUGAAAGUGUUUUUGAUUUUUUGAAGAUGUACUAGACCCAAAUUCCAUAUAUUUGAAAAAGAACAAAUGAUACAUAAAGUUUAUGUAAACAUUGAAUUAACUAUUUUAUGGUGUCAACAGUACUAUGCAUUUGUUAAAUAUUGACUCACUAUAUACAUGUAAGGCUGAACACAAUAUAAAUGUGAAAUUCCUCUAAAUCACUGGAAGAUUUUUCAACAAUAAUUGUAAUAUAUAUGGUAGUAAUGUACAUUUUUUUUCAUUACGACAGUUGGAUUAUAUAGAUCUACGAAUAUUUUCUGCUGUAUUCAAACUGCAUGUAAUCAUUUCUGUAGGCAGUAUCAUGUUUAUUUUCCCUUUUCAUGAACAAUUAAUUUAACCUGUCUUGAAAGCACAAUAUAUGUAUAAUUUGUAAAACAUACAUUGGAUUAUUGUGGAAACAAUUUAGUUUUUGUAUGUCUAAUUAUAUAUUAUUGCCGUUAGUACCAUCUAACUCUUUUAAUUAGGGCUGUCAUUGAUUGGGUCUUAGGCGUAUCGACGAUACCGAUAUAUCAGAAGACAAAUAUCGACGAUACAUCGAUAUAUUGAUUAUUAAGUUAGAUUAACGACAUAUUUGUUCAUAUGAUACUAUAUACCUUCCUGUAAAUGCUAUUUUAAGUUUUAUUGCCUACUUUCCAUAUUUCUGUUUGAUUGUGUUGUAUUUGUAUUUAUGAAAUAAAAGAAAUACAUAAAAAUUAAUAACAUCUUUCAUUUUUAUUUUGCCUUCACUCCUUUUUUUGCAUUUAUCCAAGUUUACAACUUUGUGAACUUUAGUUGUUUUUUAGGGUCUGCGUGUUUAUUUGGGUAGUUUUUUCUCUCCUUAAAAUAUCGAUUUUUGAAAAUGGGAAUCGAUCAUCGAUCGACAAAAAAAUAUCGUUGAUACAUCGAUAUCGUUUCUAUCGAUGACAGCCCUACUUUUAAUAUGAUCAAGACAUUUAAUAAGGCAGUUUUCUUAAACUAUUACUGUGUGUUAAAUGAGAUUAUGUAGUAUUAUGUUUACGGAAUUAACUGCGUAACCAUGGAAACAUUUUUCUGUUGUUCUAUAUUAUGUCUUGAAAAAAAAACAUUGUUUGAAGAACACUUUACAGUGGUGCAUUUUUUUAAAUUUUUACAUUUAAUGGUAAAAGCUGAAAGUGUUCUACAAUAAGUUAGCAAAAACGUCAUUGUUGUCUCAUUGAAGCAUAUACUGCAACUCCAUUGUAACCAUAGCAACAGAAAUAUAUUGUAUUAUUUGUGAAUAAUGAUCUUCACAAACAAAUUACAUAUGUUAUUUUUCUUAAAGAAUGACCUAAAUUGGUUUUAUUCCAUAAAAAACAGACAUAGCAAAUAUUCUCAUUUUUAUCUCCGUUUCCAUGGCAACCACAUAUUUUUUUGCCUCAAAUUAUAGGCGUUGCUUAGGGUUAUAUCUUAGCAUAUCUGAAUGUUAAUUAUACGUUCUGAUGUAAUUGUUAUAAGAGAUUUUCGUGUUUCCAUAAAGAAAAUCAAUCGGUUGCCAUGGCAACAGCACAAUUUCAAAUGAAUUAAAAUAUGAGAUUUUGCA